rnacentral:rRNA from 1 species
UACGAAGGGGGCUAGCGUUGUUCGGAAUUACUGGGCGUAAAGGGCGCGUAGGCGGUGUGUCAAGUCAGGCGUGAAAGCCCCGGGCUCAACCUGGGAAUUGCGGUUGAAACUGGCGAACUAGAAUCUGGCAGAGGGGGGUGGAAUUCCACGUGUAGCAGUGAAAUGCGUAGAGAUGUGGAGGAACACCGAUGGCGAAGGCAGCCCCCUGGGCUGAGAUUGACGCUCAGGCACGAAAGCGUGGGGAGCAAACAGG